rnacentral:tRNA from 2 species
AAAAUGAGAUAUGUCAGUAUGACAAUACGUCAUCCUAAACGUUCAUAAAACACAUAUGAAACAACCUUAUAA